UUUUUCAAAUGCUUUUUCUGCAUCCAUUGAGAUAAUCAUAUGAUUUUUGUUUUUAAUUCUGUUUAUGUGAUAUAGCCCAUUUAUUGACUCAUGUAUGUUAAACCAUCCCUGCAUCCCUGGUAUGAAACCCACUUGAUCAUGGUGGAUUAUCUUUUUGAUAUGCUGUUGGAUUCAGUUAGCUAUUAAUAUUUUGUUGAGGAUUUUUACAUCUAUGUUCAUCAGGGAUAAACAUAGUUUUGCUAUGUCCUUUCCUGGUUUUGGUAUUAGGGUGAUACUGGUUUCAUAGAAUGAUUUAGGGAGGAUUCCCUCUUUCACUAUCUUUUGGAACGGUUUCAGAAUAAGAUUGGUACCAAUUCUUCUUUGAAUAUCUGAUAGAAAUUAGCUGUGAAUCCACCUGGUCCUGGACUUUUUUUGUUGUUGGAAAUGUUUUUAUUGCUGUUUCGAUCUCGCUAGUUGUUAUGUUCAGUUUCUAUUUCUUCCUAAUUUAAUCUAGGAGGGUUGUAUAUUUUGAUUUUCUAGUUUCUGUAAAGGUGUUCGUAGUAACCUUGAAUGAUCUUUUGUAUUUCUGUGGUAUCGGUUGUAAUAUCUCCCAUUUUGUUUCUAAUUGAGCUUAUUUGGAUCUUCUGUCUUCUUGGUUAAUCUCACUAAUGGUCUAUCAAUUUUGUUUAUCUUUUCAAAGAAUCAGCUUUUUGUUUCAUUUAUCUUUUGUAUUGCCUUUUUGUUUCAAUUUCAUUAGUUCUGCUCUGAUCUUUGUUAUUUCUUUUCUUCUGCUGGGUUUGGGUUUGGUUUGUUCUUGUUUCUCUAAUUCCUUGAGGUAGGACCUUAGAUUUUCUAUUUGUGCUCUUCCAGACUUUUUUGAUGUAGGAAUUUAAUGCUGUCAACUUUCCUCUCAGCCCCACUUUUGCUGUGCCUCAGAGGUUUGGGUAAGUUGUGUCAUUAUUAUCAUUCAGUUCUAAGAAUUUAAUUUCCAUCUUGAUUUCAUUGUUGACCCAAAGAUCAUUCAGGAGCACAUUAAUUUCCAUGCAUUUAUAUAGUUUUGAGGGUUCCUUUUGGAGUUAAUCUCCAAUUUUAUAUUCCACUGUGGUCUGAGAGAGUACUUGAUAUAAUCUCAAUUUUCUUAAAUUGAUUUAGACUCAUUUCAUAGCCUAUCAUAUGGUCUAUCUUGGAGAAUGUUCUAUGUGCCAAUGAAAAGAAUGUAUAUUCUGCAGUUGUUGGGUAGAAUGUUCUGUAAGUAUCUGUUAAGUCCGUUUGUUCUAGGGUAUAAUUUAAGUCCAUUGUUUCUUUGUUAACUUUCUGUCUUGAUGGCUUGUCUAGUGCUGUCAGUGGAGUACUGAAGUACCCCACUAUGGUGUUGCUAUCUCAUUUCUUAAUGUCUAAUAAUAAUUGUUUUAUAAAUUUGGGGGCUCCCAUAUUAGGUGCAUAUAUAUUUAGGAUUGUGAUAUUUUCCUGUUGGACUGAUCCUUUUAUUAAUAAAUAAUGUCUCUCUUUGUCUUAACUGUUGAUGCUUUAAAGUCUAUUUUGUCUGAUAAAAGAAUAGCUACUCCUGCUUACUUUUUGUUUUCAUUUGCAUGGAAUAUCUUUUUCCACCCCUUUACCUUAAGUUUAUGUGAGUACUUAUGCAUUAGUUGAGUCUCUUGAAGACAGCAGAUACUUGAUUUGUGGAUUUUUACCUAGUCUGCCAUUCUGUAUCUUUUAAAUGGAGCAUUUAGGCCAUUUACACCCAACAUUAGUAUUGAGAUGUGAGACUGUUUUAUUCAUCAUGCCAGUUGUUGCCUGAAUACUUUUUUUUUUCAUUGUUUUAUAGGCCUGGUGAGAUUUAUGCUUUAAGGAGGUUCUAUUCUGGUGUAUUUUGAGGUUUUGUUUCAAGAAUUAGAACUCCUUUUAGCAUUUCUUGUAGUGCUGGCUUGGUAGUGGCAAAUUCUUAGCAUUUGGUUGUCUGAAGACUUUGUAUCUUUUCCUUCAUUUAUGAAGCUUUGUUUUGCUGGAUACAGAAUUCUUGGCUGACAAUUAUUUUGUUUGAAGAGGCUAAAGAUAGGACCCCAAUCCCUUCUGGCUUAUAGGGUUUCUCCUGAGAAAUCUGCUGUUAAACAGCUUUUAAAAUUCUUUCCUUUGUCUUGACUUUAGAUAACCUGACUGUGCCUGAUCAUCUUUUUGCAAUUAUUUUCCCAGGUGUUCUUUGAGCUUCUUGUAUUUGGAUGUCUAGAUCUCUAGUGAGGCCAGGGAAGUUUUCCUUGAUUAUUCCCUCAAAUAUGUUUUCCAAACUUUAGAUUUCUCUUCAUCUUCAGGAACACCAAUUAUUAUGUUUGGCCAUUUGACAUAAUCACAAAUUUAUUGGAGGCUCUGUUCAUUUUGUAAAUUCUUUUUUGUCUUUGUGGAUUGGGUAAUUGCCUUGUCUUCAAGUUCUGAAGUCCUUUCUUUUCUACUUGAUUCUAUUGUUGAAACUUUACAGUGAAUUUUUUAUCCUCCAAGUGCGUCUUUCAUUUCCAGAAGUUGUGACAGUUUUUUAUUAUAUCUGUUUCUCUGGAGACAUUUUCAUCCAUAUCUGUAUUUUAAAAAAGAGUACUUAAGUUGGUUUUCACCUUUCUCUGGUAUCUCUUUGAGUAGCUUAAUAAUCAACCUUCUUAAUUAUUUAUCUGGCAAUUCAGGUAUUUCUUCUUGGUUUGGAUCCAUUGCUGGAGAGCUGGCAUGAGCCUUGUUAUAGAACCUUGUUUUGUCAUAUUACCAGAACUGCUUUUCUGAUUCCUUCUCAUGUGGGUAGACUAUUUCACUGGAAAAAUCUGGAACUCAAAGCUGCUGGUCAGAUUCUUUUGUCUGGGUGGUUCCUUGAUGUGGGUUGCUUCCCCUUCUCCUAGUGAUGGGGCUU
rnacentral:lncRNA from 1 species